CUUUCUUGCAAUUUCUCUUUGUCAUAGUCUGAAGUGCUUAACUCAAUUGCAGACCUUAUCUGCUCACAUCUUUCCUCAAUGGCUUUCUUGUCACCAGCACCAUCAAGAAUAACAGUAUCAUCCUUGGACACCGUAAUCUUUUUGCAACUGCCAAGCAUAUCUAUAUCCACCUUUUCNNNNNNNNNNNNCAGUUAUCACCUCACCCCCUGUGAGAACAGCAAGAUCCUGCAGCCCAGCCUUUCUAUUCUCUCCAAAACCAGGAGCUUUAAUGGCACACACCUUAAUUCCAGCACGAAGCUUGUUUAGAAUAAGGGUUGCUAAUGCUUC
rnacentral:misc_RNA from 1 species